CAUUGGUUUUGAACCGGGUUAAAAGUCGUAACAAGGUAGCUGUAGGUGAACCUGCAGCUGGAUCAUCG
rnacentral:ncRNA from 1 species